rnacentral:rRNA from 1 species
GAUGAACGCUGGCGGCGUGCCUAAUACAUGCAAGUCGAGCGAACAGACGAGGAGCUUGCUCCACUGACGUUAGCGGCGGACGGGUGAGUAACACGUGGAUAACCUACCUAUAAGACUGGGAUAACUACGGGAAACCGGAGCUAAUACCGGAUAAUAUAUUGAACCGCGUGGGUCAAUAGUGAUAGACGGGUUUGCGGUCACUUAUAGAUGGAUCCGCGCCGCAUUAGCUAGUUGGUAAGGUAACGGCUUACCAAGGCGACGAUGCGUAAACGACCUGAGAGGGUGAUCGGCGACACUGGAGCUGGACCACCGUCCAGACUCCUACGGGAGGCAGCAGUAGGGAAUCGGCCGCAGUGGGGGAAAGCAUGACGGAGCAGCGGCGCGUGAGUGAUGACGGUCUCCGGAUCGUGAUACUCUGUUAUUAGGGAAGAACCAAUGUGUAAGUCAACAUGCACGUCUUGACGGUACCUAAUCAGAAAGCCCCGGCUAACUACGUG